GGCUGGGUAGCUCAGUGGUUAGAGCGGAGCCCUCAUAAAGCUUAGGUCGUGGGUUCGACUCCCACCCCAGCCA
rnacentral:tRNA from 1 species